rnacentral:rRNA from 1 species
GAUGAACGCUCGCGGGAGGCCUAACACAUGCAAGCCGAGCGGUAUUGUUUCUUCGGAAAUGCGAGAGCGGCGUACGGGUGCGUAACACGUGUGCAACCUGCCUUUAUCUGGGGGAUAGCCUUUCGAAAGGAAGAUUAAUACUCCAUAAUAUAUUGAACGGCAUCGUUUAAUAUUGAAAGCUCCGGCGGAUAGAGAUGGGCACGCGCAAGAUUAGCUAGUUGGUGAGGUAACGGCUCACCAAGGCGAUGAUCUUUAGGGGGCCUGAGAGGGUGAUCCCCCACACUGGUACUGAGACACGGACCAGACUCCUACGGGAGGCAGCAGUGAGGAAUAUUGGUCAAUGGGUGCAAGCCUGAACCAGCCAUCCCGCGUGAAGGACGACUGCCCUAUGGGUUGUAAACUUCUUUUGUAUAGGGAUAAACCUACCCUCGUGAGGGUAGCUGAAGGUACUAUACGAAUAAGCACCGGCUAACUCCGUG